rnacentral:sRNA from 1 species
UUUAAAUACGCAAGAAAAAUUAAGUCAACUAGACAAAGAUUCAGAGCAGUGAUAAAUAAAGCAAAAGAGAAGAAAACUAUUAUAAUUUCAAGCAGAACUCAACCAAAAAACUCGUGAAAUUUGCCAAGAAAAUUUCGGGUCUAUUUACAAUCUAAAUAUCCACAUUAAAGAAGCACGUGGGCGGUGUAGUCUCUAUGGCAUUGUGUGCAACUAAACAGACACGCGCCUGAUUUUAAUAUAGUAGUCGCGCAAAAUAAACAAAAAAGUUUUGGUGGAAAAUUCAAACAACAUCACGGGCAAAAUAUUGCUCAAAAAGAGCAACUCGAAAAUGACAUGGAUCAGGAUGAGAUGGCUUACUUCUUGAAUGAAUAAGAUCAUAUUCUAUAUAACCUGCAACAAGAUAGUCAGCAAAAAGAACAACGACAAACACAUAUCCAACAAAAUGUUUUCAAUGAAAACAUGCCGUCAACUUCAAUAGCUGCUCUACAACAACAAUUUAUAGGUAAUCAUCAACAGAUUCAACCACAAACCCAACAACAUGAUUUGAAUGAAAAUAUGCUAUGAACUUCGAGAGCUGUUGAAACAAAGUUUGCAAACCAGGGCCCAUCAACGAAAGAGCAUUUCGAUGAGAGCGACCAGUAACGAGUUUAAAAAUUGGUUGGCCAACUAAGAAUAUUCGGCCAUUAAUAAAACUGUCAACAGAAACGGAUUCCUCUCCGGAGGUAUGGAUUAUUAGUACAUCUGAUUACGGAACGUUUGGCAGAACAUAUUUGAGUGAAAUUCAAUUUUCAAUUACCAGCCCAAUAUAGCAAACUUUCCAGUGAUGAAUGGAAAAUCACAGUUAUGCAUUACACCUCCAAAAUGUCGCAAAUAACAAGAAGCGACAGAAACAUAACGAUAACAUCCUCGUAUCCUGUGGAUAUCAAGCAGAAUAUAAUAACUCUGACAAACGGUUUAAGUCUUAACUUCAAUUAUUGGCUUUUCAAACGGCCCUUCGAAAUAUAAUCAUUUUAAAAAAACAACCCAAACAUAAGCGUAAAUGUUUUGGGAUAUAAAGUCAAAACGGAUCAUGUUUUUGGGACAAAUGACAUCGCUCAAAAGGAAAACGAAGCCCACGUGAACUUGUUGCUGCUGGAAAGUAGUGAGAGACAGCACUACGUGUUAGUUAAAGACACUUCAAGGGAAGAAAAUAAAGCAAAUAAUACUAUAUUCUUUUACAUAGACAGGUUACCUCAAACGCAAGCUAUAAACACACAAGGAAACCCAACAUGAUGGACCAUCAUAAACGAUAAUGUAGCAGAGUUGUCUCAUAACUCACUGAUGAAAUCAACAAGUUUAUGGAGUUUUCCAACUCAAGACGAUGGAUUUUAAUGCGUACUUGGAAAUGUGGAUGAUAGUAGUAGUAUAAUAAUUUUAAAAUUUACACAGGAGAAGAUGCUCUGUGGAUUUUAAUUUUCAAGGUGCUAAAAUUGUCAUAUAUGUGGCAAAUAAUUAGGUAGUGAUUGGGAUAGAGAUCACUGUCAUGUGACUGGAAAAUACAGAGGACCUACCCAUAAUAAAUGUAGUUUAAAGCACACUGUACCAACAUUUAUAGCUAUUUUCUUUCAUAACUUUCCACUUUUUGUGAAAGACCGCCUUAAAAAAUAUUCCUGGUAAUACAACAGUACUGCCAGGAAGUAAGGAGCGAUACAUUUCCCUUUUCCAUAAAGUAUAUCUUGGUUGUUUCCAACUUUUUUGUAUGAAAGUACCGAAAACAACGUAGAGAGACAUUUUAACUCCUAAAGAGAUAGCGAUUUUAACUACCUUAAUAUGUAAA